GCGACCCUAGAUGCAGGUUGAGUAUAUACCCGUAAC
rnacentral:rRNA from 1 species